rnacentral:miRNA from 1 species
UAAGUCGCAACUCUGAGUUUCACGUUUUCACGAUCUUCAGGCGACGAUGUAUGUUCAACUGAAGAUCGUGAAAACGUGAAACUCAGAGUUGCGAC